rnacentral:rRNA from 1 species
ACUCUGAUCCAGCCAUGCCGCGUGCAGGAUGACUGCCCUAUGGGUUGUAAACUGCUUUUAUAUAGGAAGAAACACUCCCACGUGUGGGGGCUUGACGGUACUAUAUGAAUAAGGAUCGGCUAACUCCGUGCCAGCAGCCGCGGUAAUACGGAGGAUCCAAGCGUUAUCCGGAAUCAUUGGGUUUAAAGGGUCCGCAGGCGGCCUGUUAAGUCAGAGGUGAAAGCCGACAGCUCAACUGUUGAACUGCCUUUGAUACUGAUAGGCUUGAGUUAUUGUGAAGUGGUUAGAAUGUGUGGAGUAGCGGUGAAAUGCUUAGAUAUCACACAGAAUACCCAUUGCGAU